rnacentral:rRNA from 1 species
AACGAACGCUGGCGGCAUGCUUAACACAUGCAAGUCGAACGAGAACUUCUGGUUUCGUGGCGCACGGGUGCGUAAAGCGUGAAAAACUGCCCUUUGGUUCGGAAUAAACCCCCGAAAGGGGUGCCUAUUACGCCUAAUGUCUUCGGACCAAAGAAUUAUCGCCUGUGGAUGGGCGCGCGUUGGAUUAUCUCGUUGGUGGGGUACAAGACUACAACGGCGACGAUCUAUAGCUGGUCUGAGAGGAUGAUCAGACACACUGGGACUGAGACACGGCACACACUCCUACGAGAGGGAGCAGGGGGGAAUAUUGGACAAGGGGCGAGAGUCUGAUCCAGCAACGCCGUGGGAGUGAAGAAGGUAUGAGUGGUGUAAAGCUCUUUUAGCCGGGAAAAUAAUGACAGUACCUGGAGAAUAAGCUCCGGCUAACUCCGUG